CGGGGCGUGGCUCAGCUUGGCUAGAGCGCGUGGUUUGGGACCACGAGGUCACAGGUUCAAGUCCUGUCGCCCCGA
rnacentral:tRNA from 1 species